rnacentral:rRNA from 1 species
UACGUAGGGAGCAAGCGUUGUUCGGAUUUACUGGGCGUAAAGGGCUUGUAGGCGGCCAACUAAGUCCGACGUGAAAUCCCCAGGCUUAACCUGGGAACUGCGUCGGAUACUGGAUGGCUUGAAUUCGGGAGAGGGAUGCAGAAUUCCAGGUGUAGCGGUGAAAUGCGUAGAUAUCAGGAGGAACACCGGUGGCGAAGGCGGUUCUCUGGGCAUUACCUGACGCUGAGGAGCGAAAGUGUGGGGAGCGAACAGG